AGACGGAUAUGUCCUUGAAUCGAGAAGAACGAAUUUUAGCUGGGACCAAGUUAGAUAAUAGUUAUUUUGACAAGGAAUACCCAAAUGAGAAGCUUGAUCGAUUUGGUGAUUUCUGGGGUUUGAAGCGUGAAAUUGACAAAGUUCAUGAUCACAAAUCUGAAAAAAUUGAGAUGGUUUCAGAUGAUAUUAGUGAUUUUUGGGAUUUGAAUUGUGAAAAGGGUAGCUUUCCAGACCACAAAGAUGAAAACUCAAAGAUGGGUUCUGAUGAUAUUGUUGAUCUGUUGCCACAGGAUCCUUUUGAUAUGGAUAUAAGUACCAAAAUCACUGGUUGGUUAGAGGGUAUUAACAAAGAUUUUGGGUUAAAGGA
rnacentral:misc_RNA from 1 species